GACGAACGCUGGCGGCGUGCCUAAUACAUGCAAGUCGAGCGCUGAAGGUUGGUACUUGUACCGACUGGAUGAGCAGCGAACGGGUGAUUAACGCGGGGGGAAUCUGCCUUUGAGCGGGGGAUAAUAUUUGGAAACGAAGUCUAAUACCGCAUAAAAACUUUAAACACAAUUGGUAAGUUUUAAAGAUGCAAUUGCAUCACUUAAAGAUGAUCCCGCGUUGUAUUAGCUAGUUGGUGAGGUAAAGGCUAAACAAGGCGAGGAUACGUAAACGCCCUGAGAGGGUGAGAGGCAAAGUUGGGCCGGAGACAAGGCCCAAACCCCUACGGGAGGCAGCAGUAGGGAAUCUUUGGCAAUGGACGAAAGUCUGAACGAGCAACGCCGCGCGAGUGAAGAAGGUUUUAGGAUCGUAAAACUCUGUUGGUAGAGAAGAAUGUUGAUGAGAGUGGCAAGCUAAUCAAGUGACGGUAACUACACAGAAAGCGACGGCUAACUACGUG
rnacentral:rRNA from 1 species